AGAGAGAAAGAAACAAUGAACCUGGGAGGGCAGGUUAGAAGAGGAGAGGAAACCUUGAGCACUGGCAGCUUCAGUCCUGAAAGAUGGGGGUAUGGGGAAGGUCAGAGUUCUCCCACAGGCAAGAAGGCACAGCAGGAGGUCCUUGAGCCCCAGGCCAGCCUACCUACAUCCUUGGUAGGGAUCAUCUCUCUCUUUCCCUCAUCAGGUAGCAAAGGAUUCAGCAAACUUUUUCCUUAAAGGGCCAGAUAGUCAUUAGUUUCGGCAUUGUGGGCCACGCAGUCUCUGCCUAGACUCUAGAACUGUGGUGCAAAGUAGCCGCAGACAGUCCAUCCAUGGAGGGGAGAGGCUGUGUGCCAAUAAACUCUGUUUACUAAAACUGUCCAGCCAUAGUUUGCAGGCCCCUGAGCUCCCUGAUUCCUACUCAGCCUGACCCUCUGUAAAUGCUCUUAUUGCCCUUUGUUCUUUUCCUUUAGAGCUCGCAUCUCAGUUCUAAUGAAUCAUUUGUCCAAAACGUGCUCAGCACUGACUCCAGUGCUGGGGUUAUAGCAGGGGCUGUGCCCAUCUUAUCUUCAUGGCUCCCAGAGCUGACAGAUAAGGAAACUGAGACUCAGAGAGACUAACUAAUGUGCUUGAAAUGAUACAACUGGAAAGGAGGGGGAUCCAACUUUGGACUCAGUUGGGCUCUGUAACCACAACACCAUUCAUAAGUUGCUGGUAAAAAGUGAACCAAGUAAAUAAGAAGUUCGGUUCCUCCUCUGGUAGGAAAGGGGGCAGGGUGAGGUAGGGCUUCCUAAGGAGGAGGAUGGAAACCUGGCAUUGUCACUGUGGGAGAGGAAGUGGGAGCUGACUGUGGGCAGGAAGUGGCUUUGCCCUGUGGUCUAGGUGAGGAGGAAGCACUUGCAUGGACGCUUCUAUAAGCUAUGGGCUUUCCUCUCGAUGGACGCAGCCGCGUGUGGCAGGGGGCCACUGCUGAGGUCUGGGUUGAUGCAAGUUGUGGGUUUACCAACAGGUAUCUUAUUCCCAGGUAGUACAAAUGGUAAAGACUCCACCUGCCAUUACAGGAGGUGCAAGAGACCUGGGUUCAAUCCCUGGGUUAGGAAGAUCCCCUGGAGAAGGGAACAGCUACCCACUCUAGUAGUCUGGCCUGGAGAAUUCCACGGACUGUCUGAAUUCCAUGGGGUCGCAAAGAGUUGGAUACAACUGAGCAACUUUCACAACAAAAUACCACAGAUUGAUAAUCUUAUAAAUAGCAGAAAUGUGUGUCUCACAAUUAUGGAGGUUGUGAAGUCCAGGAUGGAGGCACCAAGGUGGUUGCAUUUGGUUAGGGAUCUCUUCCUGAUUCACAGUAGACACCUUCUACCUGUGUCCUCACAUGGAGGGAGAAACAAGGGAUCUCUCUGGAGCCUUUUAUAAGGUGCUAAUCCCAUUCAUGAGUGCACCACACUCAUGACCUAAGAACCUCCCAAAGACUCUAUCUCUUAAUAUGAUCAUCUUUUGGGGUUAGGAUUUCAGUGUAUGAAUUUGGAGUGGGAGAGGGACAUAAGCAUUCAGACCAUAGGAGGCAAAUAAUAGUGAUAGGGAGAUCUUGGAAGAAGAAACACUAACAUCAUCUGUAGUUUGAGAUUUUUCCAAGUAUGGUGAAAGAGAUCUGGG
ensembl:lncRNA